rnacentral:rRNA from 1 species
CUACGGGAGGCACCAGUAAGGAAUAUUGGGCAAUGGACGCAAGUCUGACCCAGCCAUGCCGCGUAGAGGAUGACUGUCCUAUGGAUUGUAAACUUCUUUUAUACAGGAAAAACAUACUGGUCGAGCACCGGGACUGAUGGUACUGUAUGAAUAAGCAUCGGCUAACUCCGUGCCAGCAGCCGCGGUAAUACGGAGGAUGCAAGCGUUAUCCGGAUUCAUUGGGUUUAAAGGGUGCGCAGGCGGAAUUAUAAGUCAGUGGUGAAAUCUCCCGGCUCAACCGGGAAACUGCCAUUGAUACUGUUAUUCUUGAGUACAGUUGAAGUGGGCGGAAUGUGUCAUGUAGCGGUGAAAUGCUUAGAUAUGACACAGAACACCGAUAGCGAAGGCAGCUCACUAAGCUGUAACUGACGCUCAUGCACGAAAGCGUGGGGAUCAAACAGGAUUAGAUACCCCGGUAGUC